AAGUUUCGGCGUAGUAAAUCUUAUCUUUAAUUUUAAAAUUUAAUUGCUUUGGAAGAUAAGUUAUGAAAAACACAUUACGUUAUUAGAGGUAACACAAAAGUUGUAACGUGAUAAUCAUAUUCCAAAAAGAAGAAAUAGACGCAAAAAUGGAAAUAAAAAUUAUUUUAACCAUAAUGAUUGGAGCUCUGACUCAAAUUGGAAGCCUACUGCCGGCAUUCGAUGAUUCAAGUUGUACUUACACGGGAGCAUAUUGUCCCAGCAUGCGUUGUUGCGACCGCAACUUUGAGUGCAAGUUAACAACACUCAGUUUGUUUAGUUUACCACCUGAGCUAUAUGAGCUAGCUGAAAAAAAUAAGUCUUACAGGUGCUUGGCAAAAAUAUCGCUGGGAAGAUCAUGUUUAUUUCAUGAAGAAUGUUCUCAUAUAGAAAAUGCUCGAUGCAUUAACUCAUUAUGUCAAUGUAAGUCUGAUUACUUCGAUAUUAAAGGUCAAUGUUUC